rnacentral:lncRNA from 1 species
AAAAAAAAAAGAUUACUACGUGAUUUUUUGAAUAUGCCUAUAUCUAUCGCUUUUGCUUCAUUGAUUUGAUUCUCUCAAUAGAUACUGAGAUUCAUAUUGGAAAUCAAAAAUAUAGUAAUUCAAACUAUAAGACAUAGGAGUAAUUCAGAUUGAUCAGAACAAAUAGAUAUAGCAAAUAAAUGGAAUUGGAUGCUAUGUCAAUCCCAUAUAUGGAAUUGAUAUUCACAUAUAUCAAGAUAAUAUUGUAGAUUGAUAUAUAGAUCCAUAUCAAAUGCAGCCUCUAUCUUUAUUUUAUUCCAGGGGGCAGCUUUAUAACAAGAAUCUAACUAAUAAAUAGUAUGGUAGAAAGAAAUAGAUGAAUCUUUCUACCAUACUAUCUAUCUAUUAGAAUACUGCCGAUUCUAGUCCACUCAUUUCAUUUAAGACAUGAAAUUGGAAUCUUUUUCAUUUUAUUUCGUCAAUUUUGGCUAAGAACUCAGAAGUCAAGUUUCAUUCAAAUUAGUUAAUAAUUAAUCGUUUUGACUGACUGUUUUUACAUAAAUGAUAAGUAGAAAAGCGGUAGGAACUAGAAUAAAUAGUGCAGUAGCAAUAAAUGCAAGAAUAUUUACUUCCAUAAUCUCAUCGGUUUUUUACUUCGCAAUAACUCGGGAUUUAAUCCCAUAGAGAUGAUAAAUCUUUGGCCUGUAAAUUCAAUGAAUGAAUAUUACCUCUCGAUGAUCUUGAAUCAGAUCAAUAUCAUGAAUAACAAUAUCUGAACUAUCAAAUAAAUUCGUCGUCGAGAAUUGAAUAGUAUAACAUAGGAAGUUCUUUUAUCCAUACCGCCCCAAACUCGGAUUGCUGACCUAACCCAAAAUUCCUUUAUUUAUUUAUCAUUUUUUAUUAUCUGUUCUUUUUUUCUCUCUAAUCUAUCUAGUUCCUUCUUGUACAAUCAUCUGAUGAAGUCUCAUCAAAUAGCUCUUCCACUUCCAGUGGUCACAUAGUUACAAACCCAAACAAACAAUAAAAGCUAAAUGGAAAAAGAAAGGAGUUUAGAACGAAACUAUUUUUGACUUGGAAGACAAAGAAGUGUGAUAAAGAUGAGACCGUAUAAAAUGAAUAUUCAUCAAAUUGACUAUUUUCCGAUUUGUUCGUUCGUCGAUGGGGCCUUAAAACAAAAUGAAAAAUAGGAAAAAUGAUUCAUUCGCCUUUCUAAGAGGAGUAGGAUCUUUGGUUGAUCUGUCCUUCCCCCUCCUUUCUUCGUCGAUUAUUAGCCCCGGGACACCUAUACCAAAAGCUCAGUGUGCAAUUUGCAUGAAAUCUAUUUUGCAACUUCAAACUAGUAAGUCAGGUUCCAUAAAUCCGUAGCCAGAAAAAGAAAUUGUUUUUUUUUUUUUUUGUUUUUUCUGGAAAGUAUUUUCUUAUAUUCAAUUUUGUAUUGGACAACAAAGGAAUUCCUUUUGUGUAUGCGCGCCUCAAAAAAGUAUAGUACUCGAUUCCAUUACAUGCAUCGGGGGCAAUCGAAAAAGCCAGCAUUUCUUGGAAUACUGACUAUAAUGCUACCAAUAAUUGUACUAAUCCAACCGCAUAUGUCUUUCUCCUACCAAAAGGAAAGAAAAAAGAAAUAAGGAUUUCCCCUUUGCUUUGACAAUGGAAUUCUUCCCCCGGUCCCCUUCAGAAAAAGGGAGAGAUUUUUUGAUAUAUUUAUUGGAUCCGUCGGGACUGACGGGGCUCGAACCCGCAGCUUCCGCCUUGACAGGGCGGUGCUCUGACCAAUUGAACUACAAUCCCAGGGAAAUACGGGAUCUAGCAGAAAAUUUGAUUCUUUUUUAUCUCCGGAUCGGGUAUUUCUGAAGUACAAAGGGAGUUAUAUCAUCUCAUGGCGGAUUGGCGAAUUAUUGGGCCGAGCUGGAUUUGAACCAGCGUAGACAUAUUGCCAACGAAUUUACAGUCCGUCCCCAUUAACCGCUCGGGCAUCGACCCAGGAAGAAUCAAUUUUCAACUUAUUGGUAAUCCAUGAUCAAUUUCCUUUCGUAGUACCCUACCCCCAGGGGAAUUCGAAUCCCCGCUGCCUCCUUGAAAGAGAGAUGUCCUAAACCACUAGACGAUGGGGGCCCGCUUGACCAACGGCCAUCAUACUAUGAUGAUAGUAUGAUCCGUUUUUUAAAAUUGUCAAUAUAAUCAAAUGAUUCUAGCCGAGGGAUCUUUCCCCCCUUCAGAAUUGCAUAGAAUUGUUUUUUAUUCGUCAUUGACGAAUUAUUCAUUAGAAUCGACAUUAGAAAUCUAGUAGUAGUAUUUUUUUUUAAUUAUUUCAAUUGAAUUUAUUUCUAUUCGAGUCGGUCUUGAAACAAUUCAUUGCAUUUUCUCCUAUACUUCCUAGGUAAAUCCAUUUUAUUAUUCAACAAUGAGCCACUAGACACUAUGUAUCUACUGCACGUACUUAAUGCAUAUAUACUUAUGUUUAUAAUAUAAGUACAUAUAGAUAUUUUAUCCACAUAGUGAAUAAUUCCGGAAUUAAAUAAAA